rnacentral:lncRNA from 1 species
AUAAAUAUCAUUUUAUAAAAAUCAUUAUAUAGUACAUUAUUAUUGCAUAAAAUAAGAAAAUGUAAGAAACAUUUUAAGAGGUGCCACAUAGCACAAUGGAGGUUUAGAAGCAAUCUAAACGUUGCUUAUAGAGAUUACAUAGAGAUAUAGAUAAAUAGAUGCCAAUGUAAUAUGUUUUACAUCAUUUUAUUUGUGUUUGGACAAUAUAUAAUACAAAAGUUGUAUGUGCAUUAAUUGUAUGUCACGAAUGGUUCUUUUUUCCCUAUCAUAGAAAUUAAAAAGGUCAAAAAAUUAUAAACUAAAUAUGAGAAAAAAUAAAAGUAACAGUAACAACAGUAGUACAUCAAAAAUGAAAUAGCACAUCAAAAACCAACUAACCACUCUACAAAGUAAGCAAAUACAACCUGCUCAAGAUAUAUCAAACAAAACCCCUAGAAAGCGAAUUUUGUUUACAGUUUGCAAUUUAGAAAGUGAACUCUUUUUUAUCAUGAUUUUUUUUCAUUAAUAUAGAAAUAUUGUUCUUAAAAUAUAUUUUGGGACAUUUAAUUUUUUUAAAGUCAAAAAGUUAUAUUUUAUAAUAUAAUUCUACUUGUAGAUUUCUUAACAUAUAUAUCACGCGUUAAUAGUUCCAUCAAAUUAUAGACGAAACAAGAUAACUCUUCAACUAACCUAUUCUGCAGUAACAAAAAUUAUUAAGACACUUCCCAAUUUGCGGAGGGGUACAUAAUUUAUCUUGACAGUGAUAAUCACUCUUGCAUUUAUGACGUACUGCGAUGUGAAAAAUAUAUAAAAGAAAAUGUUAAUGAAAGAUGACGAUUUUAUUUUUGUACAAUGAUAAUUUUUUAAGUAAGAAGAAAACAUCAUUAAUAUAUUAAACUGUAACUACAAACUUUAUUUUUAAUUUGUUUAUAAGAUAAAUAAGAAAAGGAACAGAAAACGGGCUUACCAAAAUAGCUGGUUACGACAUGAAAUAGUGAAAGAAAAAGGGUCAUCACAUAAACAAACUUUAUAAUUGCGGUCAUAUUUCUUCUCAUUUGCAUGUAGUAGUAUAGAAACAAAUUAAAAGUUUGUAAAUUGACCAAUUUAUUUAUAAUGUAAAAACCAUCAUACUCUAUGAUACUUCAAUUUUUUUGACGCAUUAUUAUACUUCAAUUAAAAAAA